rnacentral:rRNA from 1 species
UACAGAGGUCUCAAGCGUUGUUCGGAUUCAUUGGGCGUAAAGGGUGCGUAGGCGGCGCGGUAAGUCGGGUGUGAAAUCGUCGGGGCUUAACUCCGAAACUGCAUUCGAUACUGCCGUGCUUGAGGACUGGAGAGGAGACUGGAAUUUACGGUGUAGCGGUGAAAUGCGUAGAUAUCGUAAGGAAGACCAGUGGCGAAGGCGGGUCUCGUGGACAGUUCCUGACGCUGAGGCACGAAGGUCCAGGGGAGCAAACGGGG